ACCACAUAUAAAGCACCUGCGGCAACAUGGCUGCCUUUCUGUCUGGUUUGCCUGCUGGUUGCUACGUGCUCCUUGUACUGAGAUGAGUCUCCAACCGCUGGGCUGUCGAGUGAGUCUCUCUCAGAUUCUCCUCCAGCUCCUACACAAAAACACACAGACACAUCAUGGAGUGACACAAAAACUAUGCAACUGAACUAUCAGGGGAGUGAGAAACAUGUUGUCCAAAGACAGUCCAUACACACCCACGCUAAUUAGGUAGAGUAAUUGAGAGUACUUGUGUGGGUGUACCGUGGACGUGUAAGCGGUUCAAAUGAGACAAUAUUGUGUGGAACUUUUCAUUGUGCAGGAUGACUUUAUGCCCUUUGUAAAUAGAGGUUUUAAUCAAACAUGAAAAUAUUAAAGACCCUCCAUCUGA